rnacentral:misc_RNA from 1 species
GCGAGAUCUUAUCCCCGUUCUGAACCUCAUCAGUACACCCCUGAACACAAUCAAUCGAUCCCCCAUACACCUUGAUCCCCGGAAUCAAGGUCUUCAUCUGAUCAUUCCCACCGGCAUGAUCCCAGUGUUUGUGAGUGGUAAGGAUCAUCUUGAUGUCGACGCCGAACUUGCCGGCCACCGCGAUGAUCUUCUCGGGCUCGACGGGGUCAACGGCGGCGGCGGUGCUUGAGGCCUCGUCAAUGAUCAGGUAGGCAUAGUUGUCGUCCAAGCAGGGGAUGUGGAGGAUCUUCAUCUCGCGAUUUCGGAUCGGGGACGGUGCUGCUCCGCCGAUAUA